UACGUAGGGGGCAAGCGUUGUCCGGAUUUAUUGGGCGUAAAGAGCGUGUAGGCGGUCAGGUAGGUCCGUUGUGAAAACUCGAGGCUCAACCUCGAGACGCCGAUGGAAACCAUCUGACUAGAGUCCGGAAGAGGAGAGUGGAAUUCCUGGUGUAGCGGUGAAAUGCGCAGAUAUCAGGAAGAACACCUACGGCGAAGGCAGCUCGCUGGGACGGUACUGACGCUGAGACGCGAAAGCGUGGGGAGCAAACAGG
rnacentral:rRNA from 1 species